CCUGCCCCUACAGGCAUUGCAGGCAUGGUUAUUGUGUCACACGUGUCUGUAGGCAGCAGGGAGGAGAGAAGGGUUCUGACCCGUGAACAUCUGAAUGAUUAGUCAUG
rnacentral:snoRNA from 1 species